CACGUAGGGCGCAAGCGUUGUCCGGAAUUAUUGGGCGUAAAGAGCUCGUAGGCGGUCUGUUGCGUCCGCUGUGAAAACUCGGGGCUUAACCCCGAGCCUGCAGUGGAUACGGGCAGACUAGAGGUAGGUAGGGGAGAAUGGAAUUCCCGGUGUAGCGGUGAAAUGCGCAGAUAUCGGGAGGAACACCGGUGGCGAAGGCGGAUCUCUGGGCCAUUACGUGACGCUGAGGAGCGAAAGCGUGGGAGCGAACGAGG
rnacentral:rRNA from 1 species